GGUCCACCUGUGAGGCAGACGUCUUGAAAAGGAAAGCAGGGGAAAUGCUCAAGCACACUGCGCCAGUGUUACCCGACACAGAGUGCCAACUGGAAAGCUGUACAAGUCAACAGUCGCACCAUUUAUGUGGGGAGGAGUGAAGCCAGCAGAGGAGUGACUCAGCAUGAGCCGGCUCUCAGCGCUCAUUAUGCACAAUCACUGGAGAGGAAACUCAACACCACAGCUGGAGGUUAUUUUCAUGUUAAAUAUCACAUUUCAGGCUCUCUGCUGAAUUCAAACCGCAUCUGUGUUUUUUUAAAUGCGGGGGGGAGCAGACACUUCAGAUGGGUACAGUACAGCGCACGGUGCACUCUGACCUCUGAGACCGUGGUCAGCAGCCCCGGUCAAAGGUUCUGUCAGCUCAGUGGAAAAAAAAAAAAAAAAGAAAAGAAAAAUCCAUUAUCUGAGGAGUCAGAGGCCGUCCUGCUCCACUAAAAAGGUGAAAGGUCGCCAGUGACAGCAGAGUGGUCACGUAGUCUUCACCUUAUUACUCCGUACAACAAACAAACUGGCUCCAUUUGCUUUCAACACUGCUGUUAUAUGAAGAGGCUGUUAAAGCUACAGUGUGCAGGAUUUAGGGGCGAUUGGCAGAAAUUAAAUACAGCAUUCUUAACCAUCUGUUCAUAAUUACCAACAAUAAAUCGAUGAGUUUUUAAUGAUCUUAGAAUAAGCCCUUCAUAUCUACAUGGAAGUGGUCUACAUAGACAAGAACACACAGUAGAGCGGACAGAGUCCGUCACCGAAGCAGCCAGGGACGAGUCGCUCGGACCGUCCUCUUGAGCCAGGGACUGAAUGACCGCAAUGUCAACAAAAU